ACGAGGCAUCAAGGGGAUGAAGCUCAAGAAAAAUCUGGAAUAGAUCAAUGUUAGCUACGAGAAGGUAACAACGAAGCAUAUAAAGAUAACAUUUAAUCAGGAAGAUAGUCAGACUGGUCGGAGAACUAGGAUGGGGGAGGGGUGGAGAGAGGGAAAGCAAG